CCUACGGGGGGCUGCAGUGACGAAUAUUGGUCAAUGGACGAGAGUCUGAACCAGCCAAGUAGCGUGAAGGAUGACUGCCCUAUGGGUUGUAAACUUCUUUUAUAAAGGAAUAAAACGAGGCACGUGUGCCUUUUUGCAUGUACUUUAUGAAUAAGGAUCGGCUAACUCCGUGCCAGCAGCCGCGGUAAUACGGAGGAUCCGAGCGUUAUCCGGAUUUAUUGGGUUUAAAGGGAGCGUAGAUGGGUUGUUAAGUCAGUUGUGAAAGUUUGCGGCUCAACCGUAAAAUUGCAAUUGAUACUGGCAGUCGUGAGUACAGUUGAGGUAAGCGGAAUUCGUGGUGUAGCGGUGAAAUGCUUAGAUAUCACGAAGAACCCCGAUUGCGAAGGCAGCUUACUAAACUGUGACUGACAUUGAUGCUCGAAAGUGUGGGUAUCAAACAGGAUUAGAUACCCGUGUAGUC
rnacentral:rRNA from 1 species